GGUGAUGAUUUAUUUAUUUGGAGUAUUUAUGCACAGAGGCCGGUGGGGGCUUGCUCUGGAGCCCACCUUUCUGCCCUCCCCUCCAAGCCAAGCACCACCACAAAGCAAACCUGGGCUCUAAUGUGGGGCUCAAGUUCUGAGGAGUCCCCUUCCUUCCUUCCUUCCUUCCUUCCUUCCUUCCUUCCUUCCCUCUUCUUUUCCAUCUCUCCCUCCUGCUGCCUGGAUCCAAAAUACCAAAGGAGACUCUUUCCCUUUCUCUCCUUGACAGGGCUGGUCAGUUUAACCUGGGAACACUUAAAGAAGGUUGGUAUCAUUCUGGAAGGAAAAAGGCUUCAGGUCCUAUACCUUCUGUAAGUUUUUUUUAAAAUUAAUAUAUAUAUAAAGCACCCCCUUUUCCUGAAUUAAUUCUACCUUGCUUUGGUUGGGUUUGGUUAAGAAACGGUUGUUAGGAUGCAAAGGCUGGUAAUGUGUCAUUUUGUUUUAUUUUAUGUUUUUAAAUCCUUGGAGUGUAUUCCCCACUUUGUGGCACUGGAAGACAUACAUGGCAGGCUGUGUUCUGGACAGCUUCAGUUACAUGAGGAGUGAUAUGCUUUCUGUCACCUGCCAAUAAACCUGCAAUUUCUUGAUUUCUUGAUCUUCUGAACGUAUCACAUUUGCUUAAUUUAUGGAAUCAAAGACACACUUAAGAUAUAAUGAGAAUCUCAUGGAUUUCCCUGGGAUUGCAUGGAUCCCCCUCAGCCUUUGACACAAUAUUUUGGUCUUCCUGCCUGAUUUCUUUUCCUACGCAAUUUAAUAAAGUACUUUCGCUUGUGGGAUGCAUUCAAAAAAACAAGUUUUCACCUUCAUUCUGAGCUGGCACACUACCACUGAAUGUCUGAACUGGCUCUUACAUCUCUGUGUCAUGUUACUUCUCUUGUGCAUUGCCCUGUUUGGCCUUUGUUGGGGGAAAUAUUGAGCUACCCCAGUGGAACAGCAGGAUCCAGUAGAACUGGGAGGGGAAUGACCUCCAGUCCCAAGGAGCCCUCCAAGCCAAGGAAUCCCUCUGGAACUGGGUUUCAGGUGGCACAGCGGACUGCCGGAAGUUCUCAGAUAUUCUCCAGUGGAAUCUUGGAUUGAUCUUGAUAUAUUUCAGCCACUCUCUCUAUAUAUCUAAUUAUAUUCUAUAGGCAUGUCUGAUCAGGUAAGACCACCUUCCCCAUUAUUUUUAUACAACGAAGUGGCGAUAUAGCUGGGUACAACAGAAAACAGAUGAUUAAAAGUCAUUUCUCAACACUGACUGCAUCUAAACUGUAGAAAUAAUGCAGCUUGACAUCACUUUAACUGCUGUGGCUUACUCCUACUGAAUACUGGGAUUUGUAUUCUUUUAAUAUAGAAGGCUAAAGACCUUGUAAAACUACUAAUCCCAGGAUUCCAUAGGAUGAAGCUACAACACUUAACUGCACUGUGGUGGGACCUGGCUGGAGGGUGAUGCAGUGUGCAUUAUGCGGAGAUUGUGGGGACCAGUAGUUUCCAUGAGAAUGGGGAGAUGAAUCUCUUCUAGGCUUUAUUCAGAGCUUUAUAGCAAUUAUCCUAUAACUGGAACUGGAUGACCCUCGGAAAAUCACACUCUCUCAGCCUCAGAAGAUGGCAAUGACACCUUCUGAAGAAACGUGGCAAGAAAACCCUGUGAUAGAUUUGCCUUAGGGCUGCCAUAAAGUGGACAUUACUUGAAGGAAAACAAUGGCUGCAUCUGCACUGCAGAAAUAAUCAAGUUUGACAUCACUUUAACUGUAGUGGCUCAAUGUUAUGAAUUUGUAAUUUGCUGUAUACCAGAACUCUCUGAAAGAGA